rnacentral:lncRNA from 1 species
AUAACAGAAAUGGUAUUUAUAUAAUUAUGCGAGUAUGUAUGUACAAAUUGUAAUUAAUAAAAUAUGAUUAGUUAGGUAUCUUGUCUGUCAUGAUCUAUUUUUUAUGAUAAAUUAUGAAGACAACGCCCAGUAGUGAUCUUAAUGUAGUUCAUGUGUUUAACGUGGAAUCUAUCUUCAAACCAAACUAAAUUAAACCAAGAUUAAGCACUGUAAUAAUAAUUAAAAAAAAAGAAUCAUUAAAACCGCAGAUUACAAACUUACAAUUGGAUCAAUUUUUCUUAUUUUCUGAUCUUUUGUAAUAUACAAAACAAAACAAACAGAAUUCACAAGGAUAGCUAGAUUUCAAAAUAAUUACACAGCCUACCUCUUCACACUCUCUACUUUCGUUUUUAGCAAACCCUUCUAUGAGUUGUUGUCUUCAUCUAUCAA